rnacentral:rRNA from 1 species
AGUGAACGCUGGCGGUAGGCCUAACACAUGCAAGUCGAACGGCAGCACAGUAAGAGCUUGCUCUUACGGGUGGCGAGUGGCGGACGGGUGAGGAAUACAUCGGAAUCUACUUUUUCGUGGGGGACAACGUAGGGAAACUUACGCUAAUACCGCAUACGACCUACGGGUGAAAGCAGGGGAUCUUCGGACCUUGCUCGAUUGAAUGAGCCGAUGUCGGAUUAGCUAGUUGGCGGGGUAAAGGCCCACCAAGGCGACGAUCCGUAGCUGGUCUGAGAGGAUGAUCAGCCACACUGGAACUGAGACACGGUCCAGACUCCUACGGGAGGCAGCAGUGGGGAAUAUUGGACAAUGGGCGCAAGCCUGAUCCAGCCAUACCGCGUGGGUGAAGAAGGCCUUCGGGUUGUAAAGCCCUUUUGUUGGGAAAGAAAAGCAGCGGGUUAAUACCCCGCUGUUCUGACGGUACCCAAAGAAUAAGCACCGGCUAACUUCGUG